UGGGGAAUCUUGGACAAUGGGGGCAACCCUGAUCCAGCCAUGCCGCGUGUGUGAAGAAGGUCUUCGGAUUGUAAAGCACUUUAAUUUGGGAGGAAGGGCUUACACUUAAUACGUGUGAGUUUUGACGUUACCAAAAGAAUAAGCACCGGCUAACUUCGUGCCAGCAGCCGCGGUAAUACGAAGGGUGCGAGCGUUAAUCGGAAUUACUGGGCGUAAAGCGCGCGUAGGUGGUUCGUUAAGUUGGAAGUGAAAGCCCUGGGCUCAACCUAGGAAUUGCUUUCAAAACUAGCGAGCUAGAGUACGGUAGAGGGUGGUGGAAUUUCCUGUGUAGCGGUGAAAUGCGUAGAUAUAGGAAGGAACAUCAGUGGCGAAGGCGACCACCUGGACUGGUACUGACACUGAGGUGCGAAAGCGUGGGGAGCAAACA
rnacentral:rRNA from 1 species